UCGAGAAUAUUCGACAAUGGGCGAAAGCCUGAUCGAGCGACGCCGCGUGCAGGAUGAAGGCCUUAGGGUUGUAAACUGCUUUUUAGUGGUUAAUAAGUUAUUGAAUAGCCAUUGAAUAAGGAGCUGCUAACCUCGUGCCAGCAGCCGCGGUAAUACGAGGGCUCCAAGCGUUAUCCGGAUUUAUUGGGCGUAAAGCGUGCGUAGGAGGUCUUGUGCGUCUUCUGUAAAAUCCUUUCGCUUAACGUAAGGGCUGCAGGGGAUACGGCAAGACUAGAGGACGUCAGAGGCUACUGGAACUCAUGGUGUAGGGGUGAAAUCCGUUGAUAUCAUGGGGAACACCGAAGGCGAAGGCAGGUAGCUGGGGCGUUCCUGACUCUCAGUGCACGAAAGCGUGGGGAGCAAAAAGGAUUAGAUACCCAUGUAGUCCCUGAGCGGGCUGGCAAGGCGCAU
rnacentral:rRNA from 1 species